rnacentral:rRNA from 1 species
GACGAACGCUGGCGGCGUGCCUAAUACAUGCAAGUAGAACGCUGAAGAGAGGAGCUUGCUCUUCUUGGAUGAGUUGCGAACGGGUGAGUAACGCGUAGGUAACCUGCCUGGUAGCGGGGGAUAACUAUUGGAAACGAUAGCUAAUACCGCAUGACAUUGAUUAUCGCAUGAUAAUAAAUUGAAAGGUGCAAUUGCAUCACUACCAGAUGGACCUGCGUUGUAUUAGCUAGUUGGUGAGGUAACGGCUCACCAAGGCGACGAUACAUAGCCGACCUGAGAGGGUGAUCGGCCACACUGGGACUGAGACACGGCCCAGACUCCUACGGGAGGCAGCAGUAGGGAAUCUUCGGCAAUGGGGGGAACCCUGACCGAGCAACGCCGCGUGAGUGAAGAAGGUUUUCGGAUCGUAAAGCUCUGUUGUAAGAGAAGAACGGGUGUGAGAGUGGAAAGUUCACACUGUGACGGUAUCUUACCAGAAAGGGACGGCUAACUACGUGCCAGCAGCCGCGGUAAUACGUAGGUCCCGAGCGUUGUCCGGAUUUAUUGGGCGUAAAGCGAGCGCAGGCGGUUAGAUAAGUCUGAAGUUAAAGGCUGUGGCUUAACCAUAGUAUGCUUUGGAAACUGUUUAACUUGAGUGCAGAAGGGGAGAGUGGAAUUCCAUGUGUAGCGGUGAAAUGCGUAGAUAUAUGGAGGAACACCGGUGGCGAAAGCGGCUCUCUGGUCUGUAACUGACGCUGAGGCUCGAAAGCGUGGGGAGCAAACAGGAUUAGAUACCCUGGUAGUCCACGCCGUAAACGAUGAGUGCUAGGUGUUAGGCCCUUUCCGGGGCUUAGUGCCGCAGCUAACGCAUUAAGCACUCCGCCUGGGGAGUACGACCGCAAGGUUGAAACUCAAAGGAAUUGACGGGGGCCCGCACAAGCGGUGGAGCAUGUGGUUUAAUCCGAAGCAACGCGAAGAACCUUACCAGGUCUUGACAUCCCUCUGACCACUCUAGAGAUAGAGUUUUCCUUCGGGACAGAGGUGACAGGUGGUGCAUGGUUGUCGUCAGCUCGUGUCGUGAGAUGUUGGGUUAAGUCCCGCAACGAGCGCAACCCCUAUUGUUAGUUGCCAUCAUUGAGUUGGGCACUCUAGCGAGACUGCCGGUAAUAAACCGGAGGAAGGUGGGGAUGACGUCAAAUCAUCAUGCCCCUUAUGACCUGGGCUACACACGUGCUACAAUGGCUGGUACAACGAGUCGCAAGCCGGUGACGGCAAGCUAAUCUCUGAAAGCCAGUCUCAGUUCGGAUUGUAGGCUGCAACUCGCCUACAUGAAGUCGGAAUCGCUAGUAAUCGCGGAUCAGCACGCCGCGGUGAAUACGUUCCCGGGCCU